GAGGUACUCUCUCCAUUCGGAAUUACUUGUCUCGGAAAUGGAUGUAUGUAGAACUAAAAUACGUCUUGAUACAUCCAUUUCUGCGAUAAGUAAUUCCGAACGGAGGGAGUACAUG
rfam:Triticum aestivum genome assembly, contig: Triticum_aestivum_CS42_TGACv1_scaffold_576930_7BL